rnacentral:rRNA from 1 species
UACGUAGGUGGCAAGCGUUGUCCGGAUUUAUUGGGUUUAAAGGGUGCGUAGGCGGUCCCAUAAGUCAGUGGUGAAAUACUCUAGCUUAACUAGAGGGGUGCCAUUGAUACUGUGGGACUUGAGUAGAGUUGAAGUGGGCGGAAUUGACGGUGUAGCGGUGAAAUGCUUAGAUAUCUGGAGGAACACCGGUGGCGAAGGCGGCAUCCUGGACCGGCAUUGACGCUGAGGCGCGAAAGCCAGGG